ACGCUGGCGGCGUGUCUAAGGCAUGCAAGUCGAACGAACAUUGCGUUUUCGGAUGUAAUGUUAGUGGCAAACGGGUGCGUAACACAUUGGUAACCUACCCCAAAGACGGGAAUAACUCAGGGAAACUUGAGCUAAUACCCGAUAUGUUGCGACAGCUUAUGCUGUUUCAAUAAAGCUACGGCGCUUUGGGAUGGGCCUAUGCCUCAUCAGCUUGUUGGUAAGGUAAAAGCUUACCAAGGCUACGACGAGUAGCGGGUGUGGGAGCAUGACCCGCCUCACUGGGACUGAGACACUGCCCAGACUCCUACGGGAGGCUGCAGUCAAGAAUCUUCCUCAAUGCACGAAAGUGUGAAGGAGCGACGCCGCGUGAUUGAAGAAGCCCUUCGGGGUGUAAAGAUCUUUUUUCCGGGACGAACUAAUGACGGUACCGGAAGAAUAAGGGGCUGCUAAACUCGUGCCAGCAGCAGCGGUAAUACGAGUGCCCCAAGCGUUACCCGGAUUUAUUGGGCGUAAAGCGUGUGCAGGCGGUUUAUUAAGUCAAUGGUCAAAUCCUCCGGCUCAACCGGAGAACUGCCGUUGAUACUGAUAGACUAGAGGCUGGAAGAGGCAAGCGGAAUUGCUGGUGUAGGGGUCAAAUCCGUUAAUAUCAGCAGGAACACCAAAUGCGAAGGCAGCUUGCUAGAACAGACCUGACGCUAAUACACGAAAGCGUGGGGAGCGAAGCGGAUUAGAUACCCGCGUAGUCCACGCCGUAAACGAUGGAUACUAGACAUUGGAAGUUUCGACCCUUUCAGUGUCGUUGACAAAAGCUAACGCGUUAAGUAUCCCGCCUGGGGAGUACGGCCGCAAGGCUAAAACUCAAAGGAAUUGACGGGGACUCGCACAAGCGGUGGAGCACGUGGUUUAAUUCGACGAUAAGCGAAAAACCUUACCAAGGCUUGACAUAUAGCUGCACGCCUCCAGAAAUGGAGGAAGCUUUCGAAGGUGCUAUACAGAUGCUGCAUGGUUGCCGUCAGCUCGUGUCGUGAGAUGUACGGUUAAGUCCGGAAACGAGCGCAACCCCUAUCCUAAUUUGUACUUUAUUAGGAAACUGCCUCGGUCAACGAGGAGGAAGGUGGGGACGACGUCAAAUCAGCAUGGCUCUUACGCCUUGGGCUACACACAUGCUACAAUGGCCAAUACAGAGGGUUGCCAAAUCGCAAGAUGGAGCUAAUCCCAUCAAAGUUGGUCUCAGUUCGGAUUGUGGUCUGCAACUCGACCACAUGAAGCUGGAAUCGCUAGUAACCGUGAAUCAGCACGUCACGGUGAANCGUUCUCGAGUCUUGUACACACCGCCCGUCAUGUCAAGAGAGUCGGUAGUACCCGAAUGUCGUUGUAGGACGGCAGAAGGUAAGACCGGUGAUAGGGGCAAAGU
rnacentral:rRNA from 1 species